GACAGAGGGUGCAAGCGUUGUUCGGAAUUACUGGGCGUAAAGCGUGUGUAGGCGGUUUCGUAAGUCGGGUGUGAAAGCCCCGGGCUCAACCCGGGAAGUGCACUCGAAACUGUGAGGCUAGAGUAUCGGAGAGGUUGGUGGAAUUCUCGGUGUAGAGGUGAAAUUCGUAGAUAUUCGCAAGAACACCAGUGGCGAAGGCGGCUCACUGGCCCGGUACUGACACUGAGGUGCGAAAGCGUGGGGAGCAAACAGG
rnacentral:rRNA from 1 species